GCCUCGGUAGCGCAGUAGGAAGCACGUCAGAUCAUAAAUCUGGAGAUCGUGAGUUCGAUCCUCACCCGGGGCA